rnacentral:rRNA from 1 species
UCGCCUGUUUAUCAAAAACAUAACCUUUAGCCUAAACCAGUAUUAAAGGCAACGCCUGCCCAGUGAAUAAUUAAACGGCCGCGGUACCCUAACCGUGCAAAGGUAGCGUAAUCACUUGUCUAUUAAUUGUAGACCCGUAUGAAAGGCAAAAUGAGGGCCUAACUGUCUCUUAUAAUAAAUCAAUUAAACUGAUCUCCCAGUACAAAAGCUGGAAUACCAACAUAAGACCAGAAGACCCUGUGAAGCUUAAACUAAACUAUUAAAACACAUAAUAGCUACUUUCGGUUGGGGCGACCUUGGAAAAAAAAAGAACUUCCAAUAGGCCAACAAGCCAAUAACCACGACCCAGCACAGCUGAUAAUUGAACCAAGUUACUCCAGGGAUAACAGCGCUAUCUUCCUCAAGAGCCCAUAUCAAAAGGAAGGUUUACGACCUCGAUGUUGGAUCAGGACAUCCUAAUGGUGCAGCCGCUAUUAAGGGUUCGUUUGUUCAACGAUUAAUAGUCCCACGUGAUCUGAGUUCAGACCGGA